GACGAACGCUGGCGGCGUGCUUAACACAUGCAAGUCGAACGGAAAGGCCCUGCUUUUGUGGGGUGCUCGAGUGGCGAACGGGUGAGUAGCACGUGAGUAACCUGCCCUUGACUUUGGGAUAACUUUAGGAAACUGGGGCUAAUACCGGAUAGGAGCUCCUGCUGCAUGGUGGGGGUUGGAAAGUUUCGGCGGUUGGGGAUGGACUCGCGGCUUAUCAGCUUGUUGGUGGGGUAGUGGCUUACCAAGGCUUUGACGGGUAGCCGGCCUGAGAGGGUGACCGGCCACAUUGGGACUGAGAUACGGCCCAGACUCCUACGGGAGGCAGCAGUGGGGAAUAUUGCACAAUGGGCGGAAGCCUGAUGCAGCAACGCCGCGUGCGGGAUGACGGCCUUCGGGUUGUAAACCGCUUUCGCCUGUGACGAAGCGUGAGUGACGGUAAUGGGUAAAGAAGCACCGGCUAACUACGUG
rnacentral:rRNA from 1 species